rnacentral:rRNA from 1 species
AGAACGAACGCUGGCGGCAUGCCUAAUACAUGCAAGUCGAACGAACUCUUCGGAGUUAGUGGCGCACGGGUGCGUAACGCGUGGGAAUCUGCCCUUGGGUUCGGAAUAACAGUUGGAAACGACUGCUAAUACCGGAUGAUGACGAAAGUCCAAAGAUUUAUCGCCCAGGGAUGAGCCCGCGUAGGAUUAGCUAGUUGGUGAGGUAAAGGCUCACCAAGGCGACGAUCCUUAGCUGGUCUGAGAGGAUGAUCAGCCACACUGGGACUGAGACACGGCCCAGACUCCUACGGGAGCAGCAGUAGGGAAUAGUUGGACAAGUGGGGACGAAAGCCGUACGUAGU